GCCUAUUUAAAUUUAGGGCUAACCCGUCUCUGUGGCAAAAGAGUGGGAAGAGCUCCGGGUAGAAGUGACAGACCUACCGAACCUGGUGAUAGCUGGUUGCCUGAGAAAUGGAUAGAAGUUCAGCCUCGCACACCCCAAAUCAAAAACAUAACAUCAAGACAAUGAGGGAAAUAUACGAGAGUUAGUUAAAGGGGGUACAGCCCCUCUAACAAAGGAUACAACCUUUACAGGAGGAUAAAGAUCAUAAUAUAUAAAACAUACUGUUUUAGUGGGCCUAAAAGCAGCCAUCUAAAUAGAAAGCGUUAAAGCUCAGACAGAAAAAAGUUUAUUAUACUGAUAAAAAAAUCUUAUUCCCCUAACAAUAUCAGGCUAACCCAUGCCCACAUGGAAGAAAUUAUGCUAAAAUGAGUAACAAGAAGACCUGCUCUUCUCCAAGCACAAGUGUAAACCAGAUCGGACAAACCACUGGAAAUUAACGAACCCAACCCAAGAGAGUAAUGUGAAUAACAAAAAAACCAAGAAAACCCCACAAUUAAACAAUCGUUAACCCCACACUGGAGUGCUAUUUUUAAAGGAAAGACUAAAAGAAAGGGAAGGAACUCGGCAAACACAAGCCUCGCCUGUUUACCAAAAACAUCGCCUCCUGCAAUCAAACUCAGUAUAGGAGGUCCAGCCUGCCCAGUGACUACGGGUUCAACGGCCGCGGUAUUUUGACCGUGCAAAGGUAGCGCAAUCACUUGUCUUUUAAAUAGAGACCUGUAUGAAUGGCUAAACGAGGGCUUAACUGUCUCCCCCUUCAAGUCAGUGAAAUUGAUCUAUCCGUGCAGAAGCGGGUAUAACCAUACAAGACGAGAAGACCCUUUGGAGCUUAAGGUACAAAAUUCAAUCACGUUAAGCAACUCAAUAAAAAGCAAAAACUUAGUGAAAAAUGAAAUUUUACCUUCGGUUGGGGCGACCACGGAGGAAAAACAAGCCUCCGAGUGGAAUGGGCCAAAUCCCUAAAACUAAGAGAAACAUCUCUAAGCCACAGAACAUCUGACCAAAAAUGAUCCGGCUAAUAAGUCGAUCAACGAACCAAGUUACCCUAGGGAUAACAGCGCAAUCCUCUCCCAGAGUCCAUAUCGACGAGGGGGUUUACGACCUCGAUGUUGGAUCAGGACAUCCUAAUGGUGCAGCCGCUAUUAAGGGUUCGUUUGUUCAACGAUUAAAGUCCUACGUGAUCUGAGUUCA
rnacentral:rRNA from 1 species